rnacentral:rRNA from 1 species
UUGCCUAUAAUACGCGUUGGAUAUCGUAACCGGGUAGUGUAGCUGUCUUCUGAGCAAGAGUGAGGAACACUUGUAGCGGGGCUUCGGCUCUUUCUACGAGAGAAAUCACGUUAAAUCGCAAUUGGCUUGAACCGGGCAAAAGUCGUAACAAGGUACCUGUAGGUGAACCUGCAGGUGGAUCAUCGC